rnacentral:rRNA from 1 species
UUGAACGCUGGCGGCAUGCCUUACACAUGCAAGUCGAACGGCAGCACGGGUGCUUGCACCUGGUGGCGAGUGGCGAACGGGUGAGUAAUACAUCGGAACAUGUCCUGUAGUGGGGGAUAGCCCGGCGAAAGCCGGAUUAAUACCGCAUACGAUCUACGGAUGAAAGCGGGGGACCUUCGGGCCUCGCGCUAUAGGGUUGGCCGAUGGCUGAUUAGCUAGUUGGUGGGGUAAAGGCCUACCAAGGCGACGAUCAGUAGCUGGUCUGAGAGGACGACCAGCCACACUGGGACUGAGACACGGCCCAGACUCCUACGGGAGGCAGCAGUGGGGAAUUUUGGUCAAUGGGCGAAAGCCUGAUCCAGCAAUGCCGCGUGUGUGAAGAAGGCCUUCGGGUUGUAAAGCACUUUUGUCCGGAAAGAAAUCCUUGGCCCUAAUACGGUCGGGGGAUGACGGUACCGGAAGAAUAAGCACCGGCUAACUACGUG